AUGAGAUGUAUUUUUUCUAUAUUUCUAUAACCUUUGCCAUUUCAUUGAACACAUUGUACAUUGGACAUAAUAUUAGUAACAUAUUCUUGAGAACUUUUAUUUUGGAAUGAUGCUAACUCUGUCUCUUGCCAAUUCUAAUACCAGGUUCCAAGUAAUAACUCUACAAUACAAAGAGAAUUGAUUAUCUAUUUUAGGGCUAGGCUGUGAACUUCACAACUCAUUUGAGUACCUAUGCUCAUUGAAUUUCCUUGAAAAUAAUUUGUCCCUGGUGCCCAGUGAUAAUUCAUUUGGGACCUUCAUGAGUAAAAGGAAAGAAAAGUGUAGUGAAAUGCUAAGGAUCAGCAAAAUGAACAAAAGGAGAGUUUGAUCCUGGAAAGAAAAAGAGACCUGGUUUGAUUAAGUUAUACUGACUAAGCAGUCCACUCAUCUUUCUAUUUUGGGAGAGAUGUGAGGGCAUCUGAAGAAGACCAUGGAUGGACUAGGAGAACCAUAUUUUUGGGCUAAGGGUAGGAAGCAGAAAGGCAAAAUGAAGAGGAAAAUCAUAAGAAAUUUGACUGAAGCAAAGAAAAAAAGCAAAUUCCCAAAUGUGCUAAUCUUUGAAAGUUAUAGUCUUUCCCAAACUAUGGAAGUUACCAGGAAGUGAUCAGGAAGACUAGGAGCUAUUAUUGACUACAAAUGAAUCAUAUAAUGGCUCUGUUGCAGUUGUGUGACUUCCAAACCAGGAAUUAAACAUUGUUUUUAAGAAAAAAAAAACAUUUCCUAUGUUAGUCUCUCAGCAAAAUGUACAUGUUUUGGAGACUUCAAAGUUAUUAUAUGAGUUCACAUUUAGUAACAGCUUAUUAAUAACCCUCAAGCUGUCAGAAUCUCUAUAGUUACCAUUUACAAUUUUAUACUGUGAAAAAAAUACAGAUCAGUGAAAGCAUAAAGAUAAAUCAGAAUUUCCUUUGAAGAGGGUCUGAGGCCUGGGAGAAUCUCUACUGUUUAUUGAAAAAUGAGGCAUGUGUAAAAUAGUUGGCUAAAUUUCACUGAUCUUCCCAAUGUGAACAAAUAUACUAUGUAUAUUGUGUGUAUUUCUAGAAUUCAAUGGCAGCUGCUGGUGGUGUUGUAAUUAGAAAUCUAUAUAGAAUAUAGAUGUUUUAGAAAGAUGGUGCCAAUUCCAAAACAUUUGUGUGGACUACAAGUGCUUGUACUUACUUUUUUCUGCACUUAUAACUGAUUUGGUUUUAAAAUUGUGUGCGCGUAUUUGUUCCUUUUCUGUUGUUACAGCUUGUACUAUUAAAAUAAUGGAGAAUGUUAAAUUAUUUUGAUGUGAAUUGCAAAUGAUUUUUCAUAAAGUAUACCAUUUUUAUCAGCAUUGUUUUGCUUUGUACUUGUAUAAAUGUGUUUAUUUUAGCAUUUUAAUAUACACUUGCCUGUUUCUCAGUUGUCUAAAUUAUGUUUUAGGUGGUGUUUGUGAAGUCAGUUACUUUUUGAAAAAUAUUAAAAAAA
rnacentral:lncRNA from 1 species